UUUAACAACAACUCCAUUACUAUCCAUUAUCUUUCUUAUCAUCUCCUUUACAAGCUGUUAUCUGCACCUCCUCCUUUACAGCCAUCCCCUCCUCAAUUACGAUUCCAUUAUCUUUAUUACCACCCCAUUACAGUCAUAAUUAUGCCCAUUACGAUUUUGAGAUCUGCGUCUCCAUCCAGACAACUUGGUGCUCCGUCAGCCCCGUCACCAGCAGCACGCCUUUCUCACUCGGCGCUCCUCAUUGCCUUCAUCUGCCUUCGUCGUCUAGCGCAGUUACCGCCACCUUCCCUUGCGUUUGUAAUUAUCCUCAUACCAAUGGUUGUAUUUUAAUUAUUUUUCAUUAUGGUUUUAUAGUCUUCUGCUGUUAUUGCUUCCUUUAUAGGCCAUUCUCCUCUCCUUGAAGUCUCACGGUUGGGAUGGGUACUGGGAUGCACACUGAGACUCAGCUUCCCUGAUGGGCACGACCACCUCCUCCAGCCCAUAGUGCCUUCCUGCCCGGGUGGAGGAGCAUCCCUGACCCUCUCUGAUUUUUCCAUACCUAGAGCUGGACAAUGGCUCUAGGGAAAGUUUAUUCUCUUUAACGAAAAUAAUAUCUGUGUGAUAUUAACAGAAGAAGUGGUUUUGUUGCAAAGGUACCGACUUCCAUAAAUUCUCAUGGUGCAGCCAUGAGCAUCCCAUCCCAUCGGUGUUGCUCUCCCCUGGUUUCAGCUGCAUUGCCAGACCUGCCUGCACUCCCCCCAACAUCACCAUCAUCAUCGAGAAACCACCCUGGUAGCUCAGGAGCAGUGUUUGGCAUUUCUUUCAUCAGCUUUAAGAGGGGGAAAAAAGUUUCUUGGCCAGCAUGGGGCAGGUUGCACCAGCGCUGCACCCCUCGCUCCGUGGUUAUUGGGCUCUGGCAGCAUCACAUCGCUCCUGAUCUCAUGGGUGGUUUCCGAAGGAGCCUGCCUCGCUCAUCCAACGUGCUCAGGGCAUCGUAGACCACAGCGUAUCGGCUAAUCACAACCCUUCCUCCGUGCACAAAACAUCAUGGACUAAAGAUACAAACCGUGCAUCUAAAACUGGUGCUGGGAUGGGCUUUUCUAUCUCUGGGCAGCAACAGACCUACACGGUGAGAAGAGGAAAGGGAGAGCCUCGAUGCACCCAUGCAGGAGCAGGGUGUCAUUUAGGAGGAGCAGGGAACCAUUUUAUCCCCUGUACAGCACUGAUGGAGCCAAGGACAAGCGCUCUGCCGGCGGGUCUGAUGCCCACGCUCCUUGAGAGGACGUUGAGGGAUUGGAGUGGUUACAGAGAGAGAUGCAGAACUCCCCAAGGAUGGGGAAACUGCCGGAUUUAGAGAGCUUGGUCUGCUUAGUUUAUCACGAAGAUUGAGAGGUGACUUCAUGACUUCCUAUAAGAACUGUCAAGGCAGGGAAAUACUAAAGAAGGUACUAAAGAGCUCUUCACGGCGGCGGGGAAAGGCAGAGCGGGAGCGAUGGCUAGGAGCUAAGGCAGGCAAAUUUGGAUGACUGAUGCAGCACGCGGGGUUUAAAGUGAGAGCGAUGCCCGUUCCCAGAAGCUCCGGGAGGCUGCUGGAAAGGACGCGAUGCAACGUCGGGUCUGCGGGCGAUGCUUGGAGGCAGAUGAGCCGGUAAUGGCUUGCAGGAAGCCCAGCAGACCCUUGCGGUCAAUAUAUCCGAAGGAAAGCAGAAAGUCACGAAUCUCCAGUGUCGGCCAGAUAAAUCCAUCCCGCCGGGAGCACGCUCGAGCGCUGAAAGCUAACGGGAGAUGCUCUCUUUCACGCAGCAAAACCCCAUCCCAACGCAUUUCCGGAGAAAACACCUCCAGCAGCAUCACCGGCGAGCGCCGAGGAGAGGGAAACGGUGGGCAAACCCUGCGUUUGGGACCCUGCCACAGGCACCCUCCUUCCCGUUGGAACAAGCUCCCGGAUAAAGCCGCUGAGUAAUGGAAACUCCUCAAAUAUUCCUUCUCGUGCUACUUAUUGUUUAGUCGUUUCCAUUUUUUCGAUUAUUUUCUCAAUAACUGCAUAGCAAUCGUUGGGUCUCAUCAGGACCCAUCAGCCGAGGUGCUCCAAGGUCCUCCCCGGCUUGGGGUUGAGCAAGAGGCAUCCUAAGCUGGAGCGAUGAAGGAGAAAGGUCCCAAAAUUUGGGAGUUCCUCCACUGAAGCUGUGCUGGUGACCCUGCUGUGACGUCCCUGCGGUCCCCAGCGUGAGCUGGUCGGAGGGUUUUGGGUCUUGGGGUAGGGCUGCCGGCAAAAUCCACAUUGGCAAUGCUUCUUGGACGCAAACCUACCACGUUACGAAGGAGGGUCUAAUUACUAACUCUAAUUACAAAGAGGAGUAAAUCACCGAGAAUAUUUUAUUUUUUGGCCUUCGCCAAGUGUCUUUGAUAUAAUAAAGAAGAAUAAUUGACAAUCAAAGGGACCUGCCAUCCUGACACUUUAACGACAGCCUAUUUCGAGACACCAAAACUGAGACUCAGCAGUUCUAGAAGUUGUAAAAACUGUUGUAAAAACUACUCUCUGUCCAAGAAGUUGUAAAAACUCCUGGGUGCAAGCAUCCCUGCCGGGUCCAGUCCCUGGGAAAA